rnacentral:misc_RNA from 1 species
GAUGAAGAACGUAGCGAAAUGCGAUAAGUAGUGUGAAUUGCAGAAUUCAGUGAAUCAUCGAAUCUUUGAACGCACAUUGCGCCCCAUGGUAUUCCGUGGGGCAUGCCUGUUCGAGCGUCAUUUACCCCCUCAAGCUCCGCUUGGUGUUGGGCGUCUGUCCCGCUUCGCGCGCGGACUCGCCCCAAAGGUAUUGGCAGCGGUCGUGCCAGCUUCUCGCGCAGCACAUUGCGCUUCUCGAGGCACCGGUGGGCCCGCGUCCAUCAAGCCCACCCCCCCAGUGUGACCGCGGAUCAGGUAGGGAUACCCGCUGAACUUAAGCAUAUCAAUAAGCGGAGGA